AUCCAGCUGAUGAAUCCCAAAUAGGACGAAACGCGAGUCAUACAU
rfam:Schistosoma haematobium scaffold799_26, whole genome shotgun sequence.